rnacentral:rRNA from 1 species
GACGAACGCUGGCGGCGUGCCUAAUACAUGCAAGUCGAACGAGAGCGACCGGUGCUUGCACUGGUCAAUCUAGUGGCGAACGGGUGAGUAACACGUGGGUAACCUGCCCAUCAGAGGGGGAUAACAUCCGGAAACGGAUGCUAAAACCGCAUAGGUCUUCGAGCCGCAUGGCUUGAAGAGGAAAAGAGGCGCAAGCUUCUGCUGAUGGAUGGACCCGCGGUGCAUUGGCUAGUUGGUGAGGUAACGGCUCACCAAGGCCGUGAUGCAUAGCCGACCUGAGAGGGUGAUCGGCCACAUUGGGACUGAGACACGGCCCAAACUCCUACGGGAGGCAGCAGUAGGGAAUCUUCCGCAAUGGACGCAAGUCUGACGGAGCAACGCCGCGUGAGUGAAGAAGGUUUUCGGAUCGUAAAACUCUGUUGUUAGAGAAGAACAAGUGCUAGAGUAACUGUUAGCGCCUUGACGGUAUCUAACCAGAAAGCCACGGCUAACUACGUG